CUUUUUUUUUUUUUUUUUUUUCAGAGAACUUGUCAAUCUUUGAUACCAUUAUAUCAAUUGCAAAUAAAUUACUGUGUUCUUGUUAAAUAAUUACAUAGCGAAAUUCAGUUGGGUUAUAUGUCAAUUUAUGGCUACUUACCUCAACUUUAAAGAAACCUUUUUUUUUUUAAAGGCUUGUCAUUCUACCAGUGAAACUUUUUAUGUAAUUUAAAAAAACAAAACAUGACAUUUUAUGAAAUUUAAUCUGGUCAUAUAUUCAAAUACAAUAGAGUUUUAUGGAAACAUAUUUUUUUCUUUCAAUUAGAUCAAAUACCUUGGGAUGAAUAUUAAAGAUUAAAUUUAGUUUACUUUAGUCAUUCCCAAAAUGAAUCAUUUUAUCUAAAGUAAGGGAGAUAAUACAAAAGUCUGUUUCAUUACUAUAUUUUGUAAUACAAAUAUGUUAAACAGAGAGGUCACCGAAGAGUUCUACCAAUAGUUUUGAAAGUUUCUUUUAACAUAUUUAGCUCACAUCUGCUUAAUUCUGCAUACUUUGUACGUUACUGAUUUGAUUUUUAUCAAGUUACAUUUGUACCUGUGUUAGCAUUUGUAUUACCAGUGAUAGCAUUUGUAUUACCAGUGUUAGCAUUUUUAUAUAUGUACAAGAUUUUUGGAAAGAAAUUAAUGUUUUUUCUAACAGCAUUUUUUUUUUUUUAAAAUAUUCCAGGAAAAUAUAGGGAUUAGUAAUAGUAGACAUAGACACAAGGCUAUUAUAAUUGAAGUAAUAAAUGAUACAGAAGUGUCCUAGAUGACAGGAGACAAUACGGUGAAUAUGUGGGCAAAUAAAUCAACCUAAGUACAGAUAAUUUAUCAGAUUUGAUAAUCUCAAAGAAGCUAUUAUAGUAAGAGACUUAAACACCAGAGAAUCCAUUUCUGGAUGUGGGCACUGAGGGAGGGGUAGUCUCUGAGCUAAUUACUUGAAUUUCAAGUGUUUUGUUCCUUUGGUUUCAUCUACCAUUUUUUGGCCCAUAUGACCUGCACACGCAUAUACCACGCACAAAUUACAAAUUAUGUAAAAAACAAAAUUGAACACCCCCCACCCUUUUAUAACCCACAUGUGCAAAGCUUGACUUGCGUAAACUUGUCACAGUUAAUUACUGGUAAAUCAAAGAUUCUCUGCCGCAUCGGUACUAUUUGUUUUCUUGAGGCUUAGAAUGAGAUGUUCAUAAAACUUUCCAAUGCACAUUUCAAAGCUACACAGCGAACUAUAGGAGGUAUAAAGGCCACCGGCAUGUCCAUAUAUUUGUUACACCAUGUUAAUGGGGAAAAAGAAAUUUUGUAUACCAAGCACAGCUGCCAUUGGUUUGUUAAAACCUGAAUAACCUGUGGGUUAUAUAUGCUAAAAUACAGUAUUUCUGUGCAGCUUUUGGGCUGUAUGAUUAAGGGAGAGAAAUUGACUGUUGUAAAAGCCACAGUGUAAUUUCAUAAACAUUUCUUAAUUCUAUGUCUACUGGCCUUUUUCCUUUGAAUAGAGUACUGCUUUCAAUUAUUUGACAUAAUAAAUUUGCAUAAUGAAAGAAAUUUGAAAUCUAUGUUUGGUUUCAAUCUAUUUGUUUAGUUUCUUUGGGGAUUUUCACUAGGUGAAAAUAAAACAAAUUGAUGUUUUUAAUAAGAUGAGAAAUUGUUGUAGACAUCAUAAUAUUUUUUUUUUUGGCAAGUCUUAGUAAUUGUGUUAUGUACUUUUCAAGGAAGCAAUGAUUGUUGAUUGAACAAAGCAAUUAUUUUUUUGUUUGCAAUAGCUGAUAAAAUGAGGCUAGAAAACUAACUUUAAACCUUCUCUUGAGUAAACUAUUAGUGCAAGUUUUAUGAGAAAAUUCCCCACACACCCUUUUGUUUCCCUCUGCCACCAUUCUGUAACUCAUAAACUAGGUAAUUAUUGUUCUCUCCAUUUAAGUGGUAGAUGUUACAUUUCAGCUAUAUGGUGGCCCCGUCAUCUUAUUUGCUUUGAGUGUUGGCUGCGGGUUAUAACUAUGUCUCACCUUCCCAUCCAUUCAUUUCAUUUUUGUAAUGUAUAUACAGGUUAGUGCAGAAUGGUAGAACUCUUCUGUGCUGUUUGGUUAGUGUGUGCAUUUGGUUUGGUGUGGAUUGUUUAAUUUCCAUUAUUGUUUCCAGUUUAUAUAGAAUGUAGGAUUCCUACACUUGUUUAUAAAUGAUAUAUACAAAUGUAUAUAUAUAUUCUAUACUAUUAUAUAUUUAUAUGUAGCUAUAUAUAGUGUGUUUCUGGUUUGUUUGAAAUAUUUGCCUUAUUAAGACAGGAACUCAAACAAAGUGUAGAGUGGACUGACAGUGUACAUGCUGCUCUAAAGUUGUAGUUUGUCCAGGUUCUUUUUGCAAUUUAUUAAAAGACACAAAGACGAGGGUUACUGUUCCUUGUUUUGGUUUUCGAAGAAACAUUUUGGUUUUUGUUUGUUUUUGUUUGGG